AGACCAUUGAUUGCCAGAUACACUUGGUAGAGUCUAUCCUCAGACUCUGGCCAUCGAUCUCUUGUAUACUAUGCUCAGGGGUGUGUCCACAAGUGGCUGGGCCUGGGAUGUAUUGUCAAGCCUAUAGCCCAAUCCUUGGUAUCUGGAUCAAGAUAUGACAUUACGGCACUGACACUGGUGUUGUGUUAGCCUCCUUCACCGGCCUUCAAGGAAGUGCGGCCUGGGAUCGUGGCUAGUUUGUGUGGACCAUCACUGAGCAAAAUGGAACCUUCCCCUCCAACCCCCGUCGUACUCCUCCUAGCUGAUGGGUGUGAACUAAUUGAAAGAGGAUGCCCCAGUGCCACUCGUGUCCUUCCCAAGGGUCCGAUCUUAUAGAACUACCUGCACUAAAACUACUGACGUGGAAUGGCUCUUUCAACACUUGUGGUUGCUAUCCUGACCAGUGACGUCAGGAUUCUACUGUCUCUUGAUGCACUGUGAACACACAAUCUUUGUUAUGCCACCUGAAGGCUUAGCAGGCAUAUCCAACGCAGUAUUUAUUAAGUCUUUCUGGAAGCUCUUGUUUGAGAUCUUCGCUUCUAAACAUCUGCAUUUUAUUAUAGACGCAGUACUGCUGUGCACAGUAUUAAUUUCUAGUGUCAUUAUAUCAUUAUAUCGCUGUAUUUUUAGCCAACUGUGAUAAACUGAA